rnacentral:rRNA from 1 species
CCCUUAGAUGUUCUGGGCCGCACGCGCGCUACACUGACGAAUGCAACGAGCUUAUAACCUUGGCCGAAAGGUCUGGGUAAUCUCCAAAUUUCGUCGUGAUGGGGAUAGAUUAUUGCAAUUAUUAAUCUUCAACGAGGAAUGCCUAGUAAGCGCAAGUCAUCAGCUUGCGUUGAUUACGUCCCUGCCCUUUGUACACACCGCCCGUCGCACCUACCGAUUGAAUGACUCGGUGAAAUCCCCGGACUGCAGCCUUGACACCCUCGGGUGACUCGGCAGUGGAAAGCGGAUUAAACCUCGCCAUUUAGAGGAAGGUGAAGUCGUAACA